GACGGGGGGUGCACGCGUUAUCCGGAAUCACUGGGCGUAACGCGUCUGUAGGUGGGGAUGCAAGGCACUGGUGCAAAACUCUGGCUCAACCGGAGGAAAGCCAGUGAAACUGCAUGACUAGAGUGUGGGAGAGGUAGAAGGAAUUCCCUGAGUAGCGGUGAAAUGCGUAGAGACAGGGAAGAACACCGGAGGCGAAAGCGUUCUACUGGAACACAACUGACACUGAGAGACGAAAGGUAGGGGAGCGAAUGGG
rnacentral:rRNA from 1 species